rnacentral:rRNA from 1 species
GUGAGGAAUAUUGGGCAAUGGGCGAGAGCCUGACCCAGCAACGCCGCGUGGAGGAAGACGGCCUUCGGGUUGUAAACUCCUUUUGACGGGGAAGAGAGAGGACGGUACCCGUCGAAUAAGUCACGGCUAACUACGUGCCAGCAGCCGCGGUAAUACGUAGGUGACAAGCGUUAUCCGGAAUUACUGGGCGUAAAGCGCACGCAGGCGGCUGAUUAAGUCUGACGUGAAAUCUCCUGGCUUAACUGGGAGGGGUCGUUGGAAACUGAUUGGCUUGAGGUGGUGAGAGGGGUGUAGAAUUCCCGGUGUAGUGGUGGAAUGCGUAGAUAUCGGGAGGAAUACCAGUGGCGAAAGCGGCACCCUGGCACUGACCUGACGCUCAUGUGCGAAAGCGUGGGUAGCAAACGGGAUUAGAAACCCUGGUAGUCC